CUGAUCUCCACUGUGUGAACCAGGAGAACACAAGGCAGCUGCAUGGAGCUAUUGCCUCAGUCAUGCUACUGAACCACAGUCAGUGAGCGGAGGAGGAAUUGGUGGAUAGUUUUUAAGGUGAAGGAGGAGCUGGGUCGUGAAGUGGCUGAACUUCCUGGAGCCUCAAAGAACAUUUGUGAUGAGCUGAGGAGGGAAUAAAUGCUGCAUGAUUGAUGAGGGAGAGACGGAUGUGGGAAGAGGAGCGAGUGGACGAGUGGACUGUGAGAACCAGAGGGACGACGUCAGGAGAUGAAUCAAACUGAAACGACGUGGAGAAAUGGAAUAGUCUGCUCUGGAUAAUGAAAACAAAGGAAGUGAAUCAGCGUUUCAGACAGAACAAGAUCCAGUGGGUCUGAAAGAGAGCUCUCACACCAAGCAAGUGUUUCUUCACACGGUCCAGGCAGCAGCCAUUCCCAGCACCAAACACGUCUGGACCCAUGGGAGCAGCGCUUCCCUCCAAAGUUUGGGACGAUGAGGCUUUUGCCCAACUCCCACCAUCGUCAGGUCGCCAACACACGUGACGUCACCCACUCGACACCUGGCCGACAGCUGUCGUGAAACCAGCCGAGCCCAGAUAAAUAGAUUCUAAUUCAUCUCAAAAUGCUUCUUUAUGAAAUAAAGAUGAAAACGAAGGACAAUUUCACUAUAGUUUUACUUCGGUUUGACAAGCUCCGUAA